rnacentral:rRNA from 1 species
UGACUGCGGAGGAUCAUUAUUG